rnacentral:rRNA from 1 species
CACGGGGGGAGCAAGCGUUGUUCGGAAUCACUGGGCGUAAAGGGCGUCUAGGCGGUCAGGUAAGUGAGAUGUGAAAUGCCCCGGCUUACCCGGGGACCGGCAUCUCAUACUGUCUGGCUUGAGUAUGGGAGAGGAUGAGGGAAUUCCUGGUGUAGCGGUGAAAUGCGUAGAUAUCAGGAGGAACACCGGUGGCGAAAGCGCUCAUCUGGCCCAAUACUGACGCUGAAGCACGAAAGCUAGGGGAGCAAACGGG